rnacentral:rRNA from 1 species
UCUACGGAGAGUUUGAUCCUGGCUCAGGACGAACGCUGGCGGCGUGCCUAAUACAUGCAAGUCGAGCGACGAACCCAGAAGGGGUAACCCUUCUGGGGGAAAGCGGCGAACGGGUGAGUAAC